rnacentral:rRNA from 1 species
AGUCACUGACAUUAGAUACCCGGGUAGUCCCAGCCGCAAACUAUGCGCGUUAGGUGUCCUGGUGACCACGCGUUACUGAUGCGCCGAAGAGAAAUCGUGAAACGCACCACCUGGGAAGUACGGUCGCAAGGCUGAAACUUAAAGGAAUUGGCGGGGAGCACCACAACAGGUGGAGCCUGCGGUUUAAUUGGAUUCAACGCCGGACAUCUCACCGGAUAAGACAGCUGAAUGAUUGUCAAUCUGAAGGUUUUACAUGACUAGCUG